AUAGCUGGAAUAUUGCUGAGUGCGGCGUUAAACAACAACCAAACCAAACUAAAUAUCUCCACAGGACCUACAUGCAGAAAGUAAUAAUAGUGCUAUCACUCCUAUGCUGUAAGACUACUUUGCGAUAGCUGCAGUCCUACUCUGCACCCAGACGACCUAUGCAGUGCAUGAUAAAUUUUAGAAAAUGUAUAUUAAAGCAUCUGGGUAGUUGUAUUCUGGAUUUGCAAUGGCAAUGUGUUGAUUUAUUAGUCUGUCAUGUCAGAAAGAAUACAAUCCAUGUUCAGUCUCAGCAUACAUGUUUCAAGUGACCAUAUGCCUGGCCAUGUUGCUGUGAUGCUGAAGUGAUCACUCUGUAAUUGUCUGCAUAAUUGUAAUGAUGCUUACUCUGAUAGUAAGGAAAGGUAGUCAAUAAAACAACUACACCAUCA